rnacentral:rRNA from 1 species
UACGUAGGGUCCGAGCGUUGUCCGGAAUUACUGGGCGUAAAGAGCUCGUAGGUGGUUUGUCGCGUUGUCCGUGAAAACUCACAGCUCAACUGUGGGCGUGCGGGCGAUACGGGCAGACUGGAGUACUGCAGGGGAGACUGGAAUUCCUGGUGUAGCGGUGAAAUGCGCAGAUAUCAGGAGGAACACCGGUGGCGAAGGCGGGUCUCUGGGCCGAUAUUGACGCUGGAGGAGCGAAAGCGUCGGGGAGCAAACAGG